GAUGAACGCUGGCGGCGUGCCUAAUACAUGCAAGUCGAGCGAACAGACGAGGAGCUUGCUCCUCUGACGUUAGCGGCGGACGGGUGAGUAACACGUGGAUAAACUACCUAUAAGACUGGGAUAACUUCGGGAAACCGGAGCUAAUACCGGAUAAUAUAUUGAACCGCAUGGUUCAAUAGUGGAAGAAGGUUUUGCUGUCACUUAUAGAUGGAUCAGCGCAUCAUUAGUUAGUUGGUAAGGUAACUGCUUACCAAGGCAACGAGGCGUAGCCGACCUGAGAGGGACGAUGGACAGACGGUCUCUGAGAAUGGGCCGCGACACUUAGAGGGGGCAGCGGUAGAGAAUCUUCCGCAAGGGGGGAGUGCCUGACGUUGCAACGUGGCCUGAGGGAUGAUGCACUUCUGCUCGUAAAGCUCUGUUGUUAUGGGAGAAGUAAUGUGUAAUUAACUAUGCUCGUCUUGACGGUACCUAAUCAGAAAGCCACGGCUAACUACGUG
rnacentral:rRNA from 1 species